GGAUUUACAUCCACUGCAGAAUUACUACUCCUUCGCUGCCCACCUCGGAUCGAAGCAAAAAAAAAAAAAAAAAAACACGAGCAAACCACCCCCUGCGCGCAUGCUCGACGAGCACGAGCACGACGCGUCCAAACAAACCCUCCGCCAUCCAGUUCCGUGCAGGCCACGCGGCCGGUGCAUCCGCACAUCACACGCCGCCGAUGCAGGAGAAGAUCCUGACGCUGCGGGCCCUGAGCGGCGCGCCCACCUCCCCCGCCAGCUCGUCGAGGGAGCGGUGGCGGCGGUGCGCCUGCGCAAUCUCCCGCUCCGCCGCCGCCCCCGCCGGCGCCUUGCCACCGGCGGCGGACUCCCACUGCUUCUGCUGCAGGUCCCACGAGCUGUCCUCCACGCGGGCCCCGAGCCGGCCGCGCGACGAGCCGGUGGAGUUGCACCGCGAGUAGUAGUAGCUGUAGCUCCGGGCCCGCCGCUCCUUGAUGGCCUUGUAGAUGAACGGGAUGAGCCCCUCCAUUUUGUUUUUUUUUCCG
rnacentral:misc_RNA from 1 species